GGUACGCACAGGAAGUGAAUACGUAAAGGCCGCUAACUCUAAAAUUGACAUUCCACAAACAAACUGUUUCAAAAGACUUUGUCGAUUUAUGAAAAUCUUUUUGUCUUUAAAUUGUUCGCACGUUCUUUAUUCGUCAAUGGCGAGGUGAUCAUGAUUGUAGAUGCCAGAUGACGACAGUUGGAGAAAAUGUCUUUGACAAGAAGUAUCCGGGUCUGGGUGAAGGCCGAGCCAUUCAGCUAUGGUGCCCUUCCGGUGGCACCACAUCCCAAACUCACUCACAGUAACAUCAAGAAGAUUGUGAUCUAUGCAAAGAACAAGGGGUCUCCAGGAUUUCCAAACAUCAGCUACUCCGUAUGGAAGCACAUUGCCUGCAACAAGCUCCAUCUCUCAGAAGACCUGGCCUGGAUGUACUUCUCCCUGUGCCAUCUGUUGUGUGAUACCAAGUACCCCGUGGAACGUCUGGAGUGGGACGAGACGUACCUCACAGCAGAGUCGCGGUCAACCAGAGAUGACCUGCAGAGCCGGCUGUGUGUGGACACGUACAAGUUUGUGUUGUUCUUGUACAUCCAGCAGCUGUUCCGGGUGUCACUGAGGGCGUCGCUGGUCGCAGGAGACGAAUGGCCGUCAAUGACUUCCUCUUCUGAGUUUGAAGGCCGAUCCACUCCAAGAGGAACAAAGUCUCUAGACGACCACGGCCACAUGGUGUUUGUCCUGUCACAUCUCCCAGAGAUUCUCGAGCUACUCACAGAACAUGAGGGAUCAGGCCAGCAGGGUCUGGCUGGUGGGCCGUGUAUGACGGAGCGGGCUGUCGAUGCUCUAGGCUUCCUGCUAGCAGGCUCCAUGGACAAGUUCAAAACUCUCUCUCCACUGAAGGACAUAGCAUCGCUACAGACAGUCCAGUCAAGCAGUGGAUACUCUAAGAUGACCCGAGCCUUCACGGUGCGUCUCUUCCAGACCUGGAUCAAGGACUGUCUUGUCCAGAACCCAUUCGGAAUCUCAGCCUGUAUCGCCACAGGGAUGAGGCUGUCCUGGCCAUUUGCAGGCGAGGAGGGCAAGGGAGACGUCCCUGCACGGAGCAAACGCGGCAAGAUUGCAACCAACGCCAACAUUAUUCCUAAAGAACAUAUGAAAGGCAACAAGAUGAUCAUAAUGAGUCAAGUCAGUAAGGAGACCAUAGCAAGGAGCUCCAAAACCCUGGAGUUGAGCAGCAUGAAGAUCCAUCGCAGUCACCACUCCUAUCUUUAUCUGCUGUCACCCUUAAGAUCAGUGACGAUAGAGAAGUGUCGGAAUACUACCGUUGUGUUGGGGCCGGUAGAGUCGUGUGUUCACCUGAGUAACUGUGAGAACGUCACAGUCAUUGCCGUGUGUCGCUCUAUCAUGGUCAGUGGGUGUACUCUGUGUACCCUGCAUCUGCUGACCCCCACACGCCCUGUGCUGCUCAGCGGGAACGACACCAUCCUCCUGGCUCCGUACCACACAUUCUACCCCCAGCUGGAGGAACACAUGUCCCUCGUCAGCAUCUCCGCAUCACUCAACUUCUGGGACCAGCCACUGUGUGUGGGGCCUGAUCACCGAGACGAGACACCCAUUUGGGAAAUAAUGCCAGUCCACGAGUUCUUCACUUUCACUGUGCCCUUUGACAUGGAAGGACCAACCAAGUCCAUUCCUGGAGGUCUGCCCAGCCGGCACCAGAAGGCAGUCGGCCAGCGGCACAAGGAGAUUGACCGCUGGCAGAAGAUGGUGAAAGACGCGGGAUUGACUCGGGACCAGAGGAAGGAGUUUCAGGGCUUGGUUGAGACCAGGUUCCAUGUGUGGUUAUCAGAGAUGGGUCACAAGAAGGAACUAGACAGUCUGGUGCUGCCCCUACAGUCCCAGGGCAAGAGAUGAGGCUAGCCUCGACAGUCCCAGGGCAAGAGAUGAGACUCACCUCAACAGUCCCAGGGCAAGAGAUGAGGCUAGCCUCAACAGUCCCAGGGCAAGAGAUGAGACUCACCUCAACAGUCCCAGGGCAAGAGAUGAGGCUAGCCUCGACAGUCCCAGGGCAAGAGAUGAGGCUAGCCUCGACAGUCCGCGGGCAAGAGAUGAGGCUAGCCUUGACAGUGAUGUCUUACAGUCCCAGGGCAAGAGAUGAGGCUCACCUCAACAGUCCCAGGGCAAGAGAUGAGGCUAGCCUCAACAGUCCCAGGGCAAGAGAUGAGGCUAGCCUCGACAGUCCCAGGGCAAGAGAUGAGGCUAGCCUCGACAGUCCGCGGGCAAGAGAUGAGGCUAGCCUUGACAGUGAUGUCUUACAGUCCCAGGGCAAGAGAUGAGAACCACCUCAACAGUCCCAGAGCAAGAGAUGAGGCUAGCCUUGACAAUGAUGUCUUACAGUCCCAGGGCAAGAGAGGAGGCUAGCCUGGACAGUGCUGCCCUAUAGUACCAGGGCAAGAGAUGAGGAUAGCCUCACAUGUGUGAAUCUCUACAUUGAACAAGAAAACAUUAUACAGUGUAUUGUUAGGAGUGAUUAGCAUGACAUUGUGUAUGAAGGCUUAGAUCACAAACACCUGCUCAUGUUCAUUAAUCAGGUUUCUGUCAUUUUCACACAUGAUCUACCAAAAGAAGUUAUAUCAUUUCACAUAAUUGCUAAGGAAAUGUACAUAUGAAAGUCUACUUUGCCAAGGCAAUGUUCAUAUAAUAGUCAAAAUAGAUGAUGCCCUGUUGAACAAUGUUUACUUACUGUUUUAGAUACAUGUAUGUUGCAUGAAACGGCUGCAUUGGAUUGCACAAGUAUGUCAGAUGUCCUGAUGUGCACAGAAACAGCAUGUUGCUAUGGGGUGGGCCAGAGUUGGAUACAUACUGAACAAAAAAGUUGAGGAUCAUCAAUAUUUGGGGGAAUAUUUUUUUGUAGUGAAGACUGAGCAUACAAUUUAAAAAAUUCUAAACUUCUUUGUUCAGUAUACUUGUUAGUGAGUGAGUGAGUGAUUAUUGUGUCUACAUGCUUGAAGGUAAGGUAAAUAUCUCUGUCACAGUGAUAUAAUUUCAACUCAUUUCAAACGUUACCCCGGUAUGUCUCAUGAAUACUAUGUGAUAUAUUGAUAUUUACAUCAUGUACAAUGGCUACAUUUGUCUUAUACUACUCAAAAGAAGUUAAAGAACACCCUUUCUUUUCAUAUGACUACGGUUAAUCGUCCGAUUUUUAUUGAUUAUAGUUCAUCUGUCAUGACCAUUCAACUUCUUUUGAGUAGUAUGAUGCUGAUGCAGAAUGUUUGUAUCUUAUGCAUGAGAUUGCAUCGAAGGCUGGUGAAAACUUGCACUUAGCUUGGUCUUGCAAUUAAAGUUAAUAUGAAAA
rnacentral:misc_RNA from 1 species